GGCGGACGGGUGAGUAACGCGUAAAGAACUUGCCCUUUAGACUGGGAUAACAGAGGGAAACUUCUGAUAAUACUGGAUAAGUUAGUAUAUCGCAUGAUAUGCAAAUGAAAGCUACGGCACUAAAGGAGAGCUUUGCGUCCUAUUAGCUAGUUGGUAAGGUAAGAGCUUACCAAGGCGAUGAUAGGUAGCCGGCCUGAGAGGGUGGACGGCCACAAGGGGACUGAGAUACGGCCCUUACUCCUACGGGAGGCAGCAGCG
rnacentral:rRNA from 1 species